CACGCAGACGGAGGCCCAGCCUCCGUCGCAGAGCCCCGGGCGGCAGGUGUCCGGAGCGGGAAAGGGGCCCCGGGCCAAGGGCAUCCUAGAAGGAGGGAGGCGGCUGGAGCGCGGGCUCUCUCUUUAAGCCCAUUUCUUCUUCGCAAAGCUCCACCCAGCGACUUCAGCCGGGCUUCUCUCGGAUCCUGAGCCCUUAGCCUUUCUUGGGCCACCGGGUUAGGUUUAGGGAAGGUUAGGGUCGAAAGAAGAAGCGCACAUUCUCCCGGAUUGUCAUGAAUGUGCCCGAAGAGCCCAGUGGGGCCGUGCGUUCUAACAGGGCAUUUAAGGACUUUUUCAGAGUGUGGCGCAAAGACGCUCUUCCUGCCCUCAGAGCGGGAGGGUGCUGUGGAAAAAAUGGGAAACAGACAAGCAUGUAUUAAGUCAAUAUUGCCAAGGUGAACCUAAGAGAAUUACUGUGUGCCGGUGCAGCCCCUGCGUUGUUGCGUUUAAUCCACACAGCAACCCUGUGGGUAUCAAUCCCGUUCACGAUGAGGAAACCGAGACUCAGACGAUAAGUAAUUGCCCUGGGUCCCACAGUUAAUCAAUGGCAGGUCUGGCAGGUUCUGACGCCGGCAUCCCACGUGGGGAGAGAGACUUUUAAAUACACCUGAAGUUAAGCACACAACAUCCGAACCGUAGAAGUAUAGUGGAUUCACCCUGGGAUGGAGGACCGCGAGAUAUUGUUUCUGGGGACUCUGAUGCAAAUGUAGUUCUACAGGCUUUGAGGGAGAGGAGGGCAAAAGAAGACCCCUGAGGCUCUAGGACCGGAUCUGUGGGACUAACAGAAGGCGGGUCCACAUCCCAGUAUUGUGGCGGGAAGGCAGACUGUUAAAAAGUCUCCGGGACCUGAGGUAACAAAGCCUGGGGGGAGGGGGACCCGAGCCAGACGAGCCGGGAGAGGGGCAGAAGGACAACGUGCAGCACACACCCCGAAAGCACCAGUGAUGAAACCACACAAGUUUCCUCUUCCAUUUUGAUUGCCAAAGCAAAAAUGAGCCACCGGCUCUCUCAGGUGUGAAAAAAGGCUGUUUGUUUUAGAACAUUUUGCUUUGAAUGAGGAAGGAAAGGGGGACACAAGAAAAAAAAAAAAAAAACAUUUCCUUUGAAAUAAAUACAUCAACGUCAGUUUUUUUCUCUGUUCAUGAAGAUUUUUGCCACUCAUAUAAAUUUUCGGCAGCGUAACAUGUUGAAGAGCAUGUUCUCUGGAACCAGAUGGCCUGGGUUUGAAUUCCAGCUCUGCCGCUCAUUAGCUUUGAUCCCUGGACAAGUGACAACCUUUUGGUGCCUCAGUUUCUGCAUCUGGGUGGUUAUGAACAGUAAAUGAGUUAACAUUUGUAAAGUAUUUAGAUUACUGUUGAACUUGAAGUAGGCGCUAUGUAAAUAUUUUUGAAUUUAAAAAUUAGAUUAUGGUUUUCAGCGUGAAAAGAAACAAAAUUCUGUCCGGCUCCAGGCAAAUCCGACUGGAACUGAAGGUUUCCAGUAUGAGCAAUGAGGUAAAAGUCUCAGAUUUCAUGGUAUGGUUCAUAUUAAAACUCGUAAAACUCUACUCUCCGUGCGGCCUGCCUGAGUCACUGAAUCACAGAGCCACAAAUAUUUUCUGAGCACUACUGUAUUGGAUGCCUGGGAGCCAAAGAGGAGCCAAAGGCCUUGAGUCUCGUUGAGAGGACACAAGUGUCACUAGAAGUUUGAGAUGGCCUUGUAUCCCUCCUGGAAGUGCCCUGGGAAUGGCACAGAGAGUGAGUGAGUCCUGUCAGCCUUUAGGAGAGCAAGACAUCUCUCUCUGUGGGGUGGGGUUGGGGAGUCUCAAGAAGGAGGUGGACUUUGAAAUGGGCCUGAGAAGAUAGGUACAAUUUGACUCCAGUGAGGGAGGCAAGAACAUGUUGGGCUGGGGGAGGGUCAUCAGCACCCUUAGGGCAAUGCUCAUACUUCACUGGGAGCCCCAGUUACUGCCACAUCUGCCCCUGGCCAGGACCUGGCCCCAGUUAGACUGCAAUUUCUUGCCUGAUUCCACUCCCUUAUCCCUAGAUUUCAAGGUGCUUCCUCAGAGGACCCCCACCCCCUACUCCUGUAGUGGGCACCACAGAGCAGGUGUCAGUUGAGUCUAGCUCUGCUACAAGUCCUUUUGCCAUCUCUUGACUGACACAUCUUGAAAGUACAGAUUUCCCCCCAUUAUCCGAAAGUUCGUUUUACACCACUUGGCUUUUACAAAAGACCUAUGUUAGUACCUGUUUUCGCUACCAGAAAGAAAUCCGAAGAGGAUUUUCGCUUUUACGAAAAAAGGCAAAAAUAGUGUUUAGCAUUUGUUUUGCAGCAAGCCAUUAUAGAGGCUAAGCAGUCAAGCACACUGUUGUAUUUCAAGCCUUCCACAUCGGCCACAUCAGCCACAGCAGACGACGAACCUCGACCUUCGACGUUGAGGUGGCAGACAGAGAAGAAGGUAUGUCCUGCCUGUCCUGAUGGAUUCAGAUGACGAUGAGAUGUUAAUAUAUGCCCCUCUUCCUCUCUCCUACACCCCAGCCUCCUGUGCCUCCCUCCACCCCAACCUCCGACGACUCAGCCUCACACCCCCUCGUCACCACGACCACCUCUCAGCCUUCAGUGUGCUCCUGUCUUCCCGAUUCUGGCACCAAGGAAAGGCCAUGUGAACACACAGCAGGAAGGUGGCCAUCUGCAAGCCAAGAAGAGAGACCUCACCAGAACCUGCCAUGCUGGCAACUUGAUCUCAGAGUUCCAGCCUCCAGAACUGUGAGAAAAUAAAUUUAUGUUGUUUAAGCCA